rnacentral:rRNA from 1 species
GAUGAACGCUGGCGGCGUGCUUAAUACAUGCAAGUAGAACGCUGAAGCUUGGUGCUUGCACGGAGCGGAUGAGUUGCGAACGGGUGAGUAACGCGUAGGUAACCUGCCUCUUAGCGGGGGAUAACUAUUGGAAACGAUAGCUAAUACCGCAUAAAAGUCGAUAUCGCAUGCUAUUGAUGUGAAAGGUGCAAAUGCAUCACUAAGAGAUGGACCUGCGUUGUAUUAGCUAGUUGGUGAGGUAACGGCUCUCCAAGGCGGCGGUACAUAGCCGACCUGAGAGGGUGGGCGGCCGCACUGAGAGGGAGACACGGCCCAGACUCCUACGGGAGGCAGCAGUAGGGAAUCUUCGGCAAUGGGUGCAACCCUGACCGAGCAAGGCCGCGGGAGUGAAGAAGGGUGUCGGGUGGUAAAGGACUGUUGUAAGAGAAGAACGCGUGUGAGAGUGGAAAGUUCACGGUGUGACGGUAACUGGCCAGAAAGAGACGGCUAACUACGUG